CACUAACCAUCUAACAACAUAUAUAUAGUCCUAAGGAACCCUAGUUACAUGGUUAACAAACACUUCAUACUGGAUCAUAAUAUGGGCCCUGGUGUGGGCUUUAAUACUCCCCCGCAAACUUAGCUGCGGGUGAACACAAAGCUGCUGAGUUUGAAUGCACAACCUGAUUACUUUGGGUGUACUUGUAGAAGACUAGUUGGUGAUGAGGUCUGUAGCAAGUCUUGGACAUGUGGACUGAAGGUAGAAUGGAGCUGAUAAGAGCAGAGCAUAUUUUCUUCUUCAAAGCUAUAUACAGCUUCAUGUUGGCCUAUUCUUGUAGAGCUUUAUAAACUCUCUCAGAGGUAUGUGUGGCCAUAACUUGGUAUGCACUUGUAAAGCUAAUGUAACUCUCUCAGAGGUGUCUUUUGCACUUGUAGAAUUAUCAUAGACUUUCUCAGAGGUGAUUCUUACCAUUCCUUUAGGGUAGAUACUUGUAGAGGUUCCAACACUCUCAGAGGUACUCCCUUUAUAAACUUAAACUAAAAAAUCACCCAUUAUAGAUGACCACAAUGUAAACGUGUCAAACACUAUGCUCCUUCUUUUGCUUACUACAUGCUAGCCUUCAACAUAAGAACUCUUCUAACAGUUUGCAGACAAAUCUUGCUCUUACUGUCUUCUUUCUUAACCCAACUACUGUUUUCAGUCAACCACAAACUCAAUGAUUCUUCAUAAAAUAACUUUCUCUUACGCAUUUCAUCAAGCAUCUUGUGUGCAUCCAACAAACCAAGAACUUUCAGCCAUAAAUCCCACCACUAUCAAACCAAAUCAGCUUCCUUUAACCUAGUUUCUCAAUUCCAGACUUAGUCUAAACUAAUCAGCAACAGAACACGACCAAUCCAAGCGACCACAAUAUUCUUCCAUCCUAUCAAGCAACAAUGUGUUCUGUUUCAGUAGAAAAUACAGAAACAUUACCAAUGUUUACUCCUCAAGCUUGAUAAAGUGGCGUGUGAUAAUGAUGUUGUGAAGAAGAAACUCAUCUGUCGUGGGCAUUAUCCAUCUUCUGUUUGUUAAGUCUUCACGUCCUCACAACGAGCGACCGUAGCAGCUUCCAUCGUUAGGGUAAAGACCAUAACCCACUUUUCUUCACGCUUGCUCAGUCACUAACCAGAGGGCUUGAAAACGCAAGAAAGUCGCCACCUUUCUUUGGAUUCCACAUCAGAAACCAAACCCAAUAAAAAAGACACUGAAGC
rnacentral:lncRNA from 1 species